rnacentral:rRNA from 1 species
CGACACGGGGAGGUAGUGACAAUAAAUACUGAUACAGGGCUCUUUUGGGUCUUGUAAUUGGAAUGAGUACAAUUUAAAUCCCUUAACGAGGAACAAUUGGAGGGCAAGUCUGGUGCCAGCAGCCGCGGUAAUUCCAGCUCCAAUAGCGUAUAUUAAAGUUGUUGCAGUUAAAAAGCUCGUAGUUGAACCUUGGGCCUGGCUGGCCGGUCUGCCUCACCGCAUGCACUGGUCCGGCCGGGCCUUUCCCUCUGGGGAUCCGCAUGCCCUUCACUGGGUGUGUCGGGGAACCAGGACUUUUACUGUGAAAAAAUUAGAGUGUUCAAAGCAGGCCUAUGCUCGAAUACAUUAGCAUGGAAUAAUAGAAUAGGACGUUGCGGUUCUAUUUUGUUGGUUUCUAGGACCGCCGUAAUGAUUAAUAGGGACAGUCGGGGGCGUCAGUAUUCAAUCGUCAGAGGUGAAAUUCUUGGAUCGAUUGAAGACUAACUACUGCGAAAGCAUUCGCCAAGGAUGUUUUCAUUAAUCAGGAACGAAAGUUAGGGGAUCGAAAACGAUCAGAUACCGUUGUAGUCUUAACCAUAAACUAUGCCGACUAGGGAUCGGGCGAUGUUAUUUCUUGACUCGCUCGGCACCUUACACGAAAGUAAAGUUUUUGGGUUCUGGGGGGAGUAUGGUCGCAAGGCUGAAACUUAAAGAAAUUGACGGAAGGGCACCACAAGGGGUGGAGCCUG